rnacentral:rRNA from 1 species
AGAGACAGCAGUAGCCGCGGAAUACGUAGGGUGCAAGCGUUAAUCGGAAUUACUGGGCGUAAAGCGUGCGCAGGCGGUUUGUUAAGACAGAUGUGAAAUCCCCGGGCUCAACCUGGGAACUGCAUUUGUGACUGGCAGGCUAGAGUAUGGCAGAGGGGGGUGGAAUUCCGCGUGUAGCAGUGAAAUGCGUAGAUAUGCGGAGGAACACCGAUGGCGAAGGCAGCCCCCUGGGCCAAUACUGACGCUCAUGCACGAAAGCGUGGGGAGCAAACAGGAUUAGAUACCCCGGUAGUCCCUGUCUCUUAUACA